rnacentral:rRNA from 1 species
UACGUAGGGGGGCAAGCGUUGUCCGGAUUUAUUGGGCGUAAAGAGCGUGUAGGCGGCCAUACAGGUCAGCUGUGAAAACUCGAGGCUCAACCUCGAGACGUCGGUUGAAACCGUAUGGCUAGAGUCCGGAAGAGGAGAGUGGAAUUCCCGGUGUAGCGGUGAAAUGCGCAGAUAUCGGGAAGAACACCCGUGGCGAAGGCGGCUCUCUGGGACGGUACUGACGCUGAGACGCGAAAGCGUGGGGGAGCAAACAGG